AGUCUAGAAGCCUCUAUACCAAAAAAGUCUGGGAGCCUCUAUUUACACUGACGGAGGCCUCUCUCUAUCUAUACCGACAUUCGCUGUUCCACAUUGUCGGGUUUGGUGAUCGAUCAAAUUUUGGUAGAGUGGGUUCUUCUUGCUCUUCUAGACUAUCAGAUAAAGAGAGGGAGAAUAGAAUGGGGGAAGAAGGAAAAGAAGAAGAAGAGAGAGAUCAGAAGUGAAUUCCAGACAAAAAGAAGCUCCCUGAUCAUUCCAGAUUUCUCAAACAGUGCCCAAAAGGGAUUGGCUCUAGGAUUACAAUUUUACCCUAGAGUCAUCGGUAUAUAUAUAAGCAACAUGUCCGCUACUUUCUGGUUUCGGGAAGCCUCCAUCAACAUCACCCUUCUCUUCGCCAACAUCGGGAUUAACUAUCAACAUGAGCACCGAUCAAGGCUCGGAUAUUGAUCAUUGGGUGAAGCAGAAGACAAGUGCUUUAGCUUUGAAUACCUUUGAGGUUGCUUAGGUUUUGCUUAUCACUGGUGAAGAUCAAUUUCUAUGUUGACAGUCGGUGCUUUUUUUUUUACAAUCAGCAAAUAUGAUAUAAAGAGCAUAAAGGUGAGGCUAGGGGCGAUUAAGAAGAAGAGGAACGCUGUGCUGAAGUAUUUGAAGAAUAAUGUUGCUGAUCUUCUCAAGAUUGGCCUUGAUAUUAAUGUAUAUGGAAGGUUCUCACCUAAAAAUAAAGAAGCUCAGUUUUGUGCUGCUGUAGGUGGAGCUGGGAGCAGCACAGCAGGUCAAAAAGGCAUGCCUGGUGCUCUAGCAGAUAUGACAUAAAGCGUACUUUCAACAAAUUGAAGAUGUUCAGAAAUAUUGAAAGGCUUUAACGGACAUGAGAAGGGAGUUCUUUCCAAACAAAAGACAUGAAUGAGCUGUUAGAGUUCCACAAGAAAUUAGAAUCCAUUCUUGAACAUUUGACUGAUUGAGACACAGGUUUUAUCAAGGUUUGAAGGAAUCCCAACAAAGAAGUUAAAUGCAAUGAUCAAAGAACUACACAUUUGGAAAAUAGGCUCCCCUUUUGUCUGCUCAUUGACAAGACUGAGCGUUAUUUCACCAAGAUCAGAAGGAGAAAUAGGUAAACCAGAGCGAACAAAAGAUGAAGAAAUUAAGAAAUUUCAGAGUCAAAAGACCCACUGACUUCAAUAUCCUCAUCCGGACCUUAUGUUGAUGUAGGAAAGAAGAGAAGUACAGACCAGUGGAGAGGCGUAGACUACUGGAACCCAAACUGAUAAGAAGCAAUUAAAAGGUUGCGUUAAAAACUUAGAAAUGCUCUGGAGGACUUUUCAGUAUACGUUCAAGGUUUAUACAUUUGCUGGUGGACAUGAUCUUGCAAUAAUUUUCCAAUAAUUUUGAUCUCUUUAAUUGACUUAAUUUUCGUCUAUUUGUAAUAUCUUCAAUUCUGGAAUUUUGGUUUGCUUUGAUCAUCAAGUUGCCAGCAUUGAGUUCAUUUAGAAGUUUUAAUUUUGUUUCUUUAUUUGUGUUAAAAUAUGAUUAGUUUGAUGCGCGAUAUAUGUGUUUUAUCACUUGAGUCAAAUAUCCCCUCCUUUUGGGUUAUGUUGUUGA